GGCUCGGUAGCUUAGUUGGUAAAGCGCUCGUCUAGCAUACAAGAGUCCUGGGUUCAAAUUCCCAGCCGAGCGC
rfam:Aedes aegypti strain Liverpool supercont1.53 genomic scaffold, whole genome shotgun sequence.